AAACUCCACAAUGCGCGAAAGCGUGAUGGGGGGAUCCCGAGUGCUCAAGUUUUACUUGGGCUUUUGCCAAAUGUAAAUAGUUUGGCGAAUAAGUGGUGGGCAAGACCGGUGCCAGCCGCCGCGGUAACACCGGCGCCACGAGUGGGAAUCACAUUUAUUUGGCCUAAAGCGUUCGUAGCCGGCCUGGUAAAUCUCUUGUGAAAUCGCUUUGUUCAAGCAAGCGACGUGCAGGAGACACUGCCAAGCUAGGGACUGGGAAGAGUCAGGGGUAUGGAUAGGGGAGCAGUAAAAUGCUAUAAUCCUUUUCAGACCACCGGUGGCGAAGGCGCCUGACUAGAACAGAUCCGACGGUGAGGGACGAAAGCUAGGGGGGCAAUCCGGAUUAGAUACCCGAGUAGUCCUAGCCGUAAACGCUGUGAGCAAGGUGUUGCGCAAUCUUCGAGAUUGCGCAGUGUCGAAACGAAGGUAUUAAGCUCACCGCCUGGGAAGUACGGUCGCAAGACUGAAACUUAA
rnacentral:rRNA from 1 species